AGUUAUUUAGCUUAUAUAAAGCAUGUAUUUUGAAAAUAUAAGAAAGAGUCUUGUUUAAUAACUU
rnacentral:tRNA from 1 species